CCCAGGGCGGCGCGGGGCGGCCCGUCGGUCCUCCAGGGCGGGAGCAGCGGGGGCAGCUCCCAUUGGGUCCCAUUCCCCAGGGGCGAUGGGGGGGGCGCCCCAGCAGUUCGCUGCCUCUUCCACGGGAGCGGGAGCGCUUGUGCUCGGCUCCAUCCCAUACCCCAGGGCUGGCUUGGGGAUACUCCUUCAUCUGGGGGUUCUUAGGCCCCUCGCUCGGGGAAGUUGAUGUGGCUGACCGUGAACAGAGGGGGUCCUGACCCAGAGUCCCGCUCUUCCCUCUCCACCCGCCACUGCGGAGGAGCUGUCCUCACCCCCCAACUCAAGUUUCACCCCUGUGGAACUCAAGAGUGACGCCUGCCUGCCCACCCAUCCAUCCCUUCAUUGACGAGGUGCCAGGCGGUGUUUUAGGCACUUAGCAUAUACAUCAGCGGGCAAAACAAAAAUCUCUGUUCUAGGAGUAGGUGGCCCUAUUAGAAGAGCUUAGUGACUACUCUUUCUCAGCAGAAGCCUUAGUUAAAACUCAGCCUACAAAUUCCAGCAGCCCAGAAGCUAGGAGUGUCGUUUAUGUGACAGGCAUUAGGUGAGGGAGGCUCAGAGAAUUUAUUGGGUACCUUGUAUGUGCCAGGGGUUGUCUUUGCAGUUCACUUUUCUUUUUAGUAUUUUUUGAGCGUGUAUUUUGUGGCAGGCAUGAUGAUAGGUGGUGAGCAAAAGCAGGAUCCAUGGCACUCUUGCACUUCCAAGCCUGUUGGGAGGAGCAGGUAUUAGUCAAAUAAUCAAAUAAGCUAAGGUACAAUUAUAAUUGCCCACAGGUACUACCAGGAAGAGGAACAUGGUGGGAGUAUCCACAUAUAUUAGAGGGAUUUGACCUAGUCAGGAGGUCUGAGUAGGUUUCUUUGAAGAGGUAUUGCCAAGGAUGAGAUCCCAGAGAAGAGUAAGAGCUGGUUAGGCAAUGUCUAGUCCUCACGGAAGUCCUGUAAACCAGACAUGAUUGCCUCCACGCAGCAGGUAAGAACAUUAAGCUCUCAGUGAGGUGACGUAACCACCCAAGGUAACUUCAGAUUAGUGGCAACUCAGGAUUCAGUUUCAGAGAAGAAAAGGGUCUUUUAUGUGCUUUUAUGUUCUCAUGGGGCCAUUUGGUGGUUUUAGGAGAGGCAGGCAUCACAAGCAGCUCAGGGACUUUGGAGAGCAUGGCUCAUAAGCCUGCAGAACUCCUGCAGAUUAAUAUAAACGAGUGAAGUAGGCAGAGUGUAAGACAGUAGGGGAUGGUGGGGACUGCAGUGAGAUGGAGGCCACAUUUUCUCUCUAAAUGAAGCAGGUGGAAUCCACACACUUGGCAAAUACAUUUAUUUGUUUCCCCCACCAGAAAGUUAGCUCAAUGAAGCAGGACUUUUUGUGUUUGUCACAUGUAGCAAGUGCUUAUAGGCACUCAACCUCAGCCGCUGUCCACAGCCUUUGAGCAGUUCUUGCCGUGUGUGCAGUUUCACAGAUUUUGAAGCACUUUUACAUUCACUUUCUUAUUUUAUCCCCCAGCCUCUUUUUUGGCUCUUUAUUUGCUUCUGACAUGACUGCUACAAUUAAAAUUACCUAAUGGACACCGCCCCCCCCCCCCGCCCAGUAUUUAGAUGUGUCUUCCUUUUGAACCUCUCCACCCUCUUCAUAUUUUAGCUCCUCUCCAUCCUAAUGUGUUUGGCAUUAUAUCUUGGUUCCCUCUACUUAUCUAUCCUAUCAUAUUUGAACAGUGUUUUGUUUUGUUUUUGUUUUGGAUCGAACUUAGAACUUUAGUGUACUACUGACCUUGGGCCUACCAUCAACCACCUUCCACGCUCAGCCUCAGUCCCUGCAAUGCCGCCCAGCUGCUUCUUGUCGGGAAUAGUACAUGAAAGGUUUCAUUUCUUCGAAACUGCUCUCCUGAAACAUCUUGCUCCUCAAGAAAGUAAUCAUCUAUAGACAUCUGAACUUCCUAUUCCAUCACAUGGACAUCUUCCACAAGAGAAAAUCUCAUCUGCAUGGGAAAGUUAUAGCCUAACCUCCUCAGAGCUUCUCUUGGAGCAGUGGAACCAAGUAGUAUGAUAGGACUUCUAGAAAAGAAAACAUGAUCUUAUGUUGUGAAACCGCAUGCCCAAAGGUUCUGCUGUCUUUGCUGUAAGAAGCAUUGUGAAGGCAUGUUAUUUAGUAUGUAAACAUAUGUAAACACAUAUUUUAUUUUAGAGAGUGAGAAACAGAGGAAGAGGGAGAGAGAAUCCUGAGUAGGUUCCAUGCCCAGCACAGAGUCUGACCCCAGACUGCAGUCUCACCACCUUGAGAUCAUGACCUGAGCUGGAAUCAAGAGUCAGUUACUUAAUGAACUGUGCCACCCAGCAGCCCCUGGUAUAUAAAUAUUUAUAAUGGUUAGAUCUUCAUGUGGGCUGUACCUUUGUCAUCACCAACAUAAACCUCUUUGCUUAGUUUAAUACUUUCUUCAUGUUGUUAAUCUAAUCUCACAGUUAUGAAACAGUUCAUGAUUUCUUUUUUCAUCUGUAUUUUCUUUUUAAGCGCUCUAAUUUAUUGCCUGUUCAUUCAUUUCAGCCGAUACGCUUUCCUAAGUCUCUGCCCUCUUUUCCUGUGUUGUCCAUAGCAGUCAAGAGAGACAUGACUAUUUCGAGGCAGACUGUAUUAGCUCUAACGGAAUGAUUUCCUCUUUACUUCUCCAUCUGUCCAACUAGCAUUUUACCUUGUGAAACGUUCUUCGAUUUCUCAGGUAGAGCUAGUUACUCUCUCCAAUGUGUAAUAUAAUACUUUGUAUAUUUCUGGAAUAGCCUUUAGCAUAUUUAUCAGACUAUAUUUUAAUGUUUUCUGCAAUAAAGAUGUCCUGUUCUCUGUA